rnacentral:rRNA from 1 species
GAUGAACGCUGCGGCGUUCCUAAUACAUGCAAGUCGAGCGAACAGACGAGGAGCUUGCUCCUCUGACGUUAGCGGCGGACGGGUGAGUAACACGUGGAUAACCUACCUAUAAGACUGGGAUAACUUCGGGAAACCGGAGCUAAUACCGGAUAAUAUAUUGAACCGCAUGGUUCAAUAGUGAAAGACGGUUUUGCUGUCACUUAUAGAUGGAUCCGCGCCGCAUUAGCUAGUUGGUAAGGUAACGGCUUACCAAGGCAACGAUGCGUAGCCGACCUGAGAGGGUGAUAGGCCACACUGGAACUGAGACACGGUCCAGACUCCUACGGGAGGCAGCAGUAGGGAAUCUUCCGCAAUGGGCGAAAGCUUGACGGAGCAACGCCGCGUGAGUGAUGAAGGUCUUCGGAUCGUAAAACUCUGUUAUUAGGGAAGAACAAAUGUGUAAGUAACUAUGCACGUCUUGACGGUACCUAAUCAGAAAGCCACGGCUAACUACGUG